UACAGAGGUGGCAAGCGUUGUUCGGAAUUACUGGGCGUAAAGGGCGCGUAGGCGGCCUUCUAAGUCAGACGUGAAAUCCCCAGGCUUAACUUGGGAACUGCGUCUGAUACUGGGAGGCUUUGAGUGCGGGAGAGGGAUGUGGAAUUCCAGGUGUAGCGGUGAAAUGCGUAGAUAUCUGGAGGAACACCGGUGGCGAAGGCGGCAUCCUGGACCGACACUGACGCUGAGGCGCGAAAGCUAGGGGAGCAAACGGG
rnacentral:rRNA from 1 species